AAAGAGCUCGUAGGCGGUUUGUCGCGUCUGCUGUGAAAGACCGGGGCUCAACUCCGGUUCUGCAGUGGGUACGGGCAGACUAGAGUGCAGUAGGGGAGACUGGAAUUCCUGGUGUAGCGGUGAAAUGCGCAGAUAUCAGGAGGAACACCGAUGGCGAAGGCAGGUCUCUGGGCUGUAACUGACGCUGAGGAGCGAAAGCAUGGGGAGCGAACAGGAUUAGAUACCCUGGUAGUCCAUGCCGUAAACGUUGGGCACUAGGUGUGGGGGACAUUCCACGUUUUCCGCGCCGUAGCUAACGCAUUAAGUGCCCCGCCUGGGGAGUACGGCCGCAAGGCUAAAACUCAAAGGAAUUGACGGGGGCCCGCACAAGCGGCGGAGCAUGCGGAUUAAUUCGAUGCAACGCGAAGAACCUUACCAAGGCUUGACAUGAACCGGUAAUACCUGGAAACAGGUGCCCCGCUUGCGGUCGGUUUACAGGUGGUGCAUGGUUGUCGUCAGCUCGUGUCGUGAGAUGUUGGGUUAAGUCCCGCAACGAGCGCAACCCUCGUUCUAUGUUGCCAGCGCGUUAUGGCGGGGACUCAUAGGAGACUGCCGGGGUCAACUCGGAGGAAGGUGGGGACGACGUCAAAUCAUCAUGCCCCUUAUGUCUUGGGCUUCACGCAUGCUACAAUGGCCGGUACAAAGGGUUGCGAUACUGUGAGGUGGAGCUAAUCCCAAAAAGCCGGUCUCAGUUCGGAUUGGGGUCUGCAACUCGACCCCAUGAAGUCGGAGUCGCUAGUAAUCGCAGAUCAGCAACGCUGCGGUGAAUACGUUCCCGGGCCUUGUACACACCGCCCGUCAAGUCACGAAAGUUGGUAACACCCGAAGCCGGUGGCCUAACCCUUGUGGGGGAGCCGUCGAAGUGGGACCGGCGAUUGGGACUAAGUCGUACCAAGGUAGACCCA
rnacentral:rRNA from 1 species